rnacentral:rRNA from 1 species
AACGCGAAGAACCUUACCAAGGCUUGACAUAUAGCGAAAAGUGGCAGAGAUGUCAUGUCCGCAAGGGCGCUAUACAGGUGGUGCAUGGUUGUCGUCAGCUCGUGUCGUGAGAUGUUGGGUUAAGUCCCGCAACGAGCGCAACCCUUGUCCUUAGUUGCCAGCACGUAAUGGUGGGAACUCUAAGGAGACCGCCGGUGACAAACCGGAGGAAGGUGGGGAUGACGUCAAAUCAUCAUGCCCCUUAUGUCUUGGGCUGCACGCAUGCUACAAUGGCCGGUACAAAGUGCUGCGAGAUCGUAAGAUUGAGCGAAUCACAUAAAGCCGGUCUCAGUUCGGAUUGAGGUCUGCAACUCGACCUCAUGAAGUCGGAGUUGCUAGUAAUCGUAGAUCAGCAACGCUACGGUGAAUACGUUCCCGGGUCUUGUACACACCG